rnacentral:rRNA from 1 species
UGGCGGACGGGUGAGUAACGCGUGGGGAACCUGCCCCUGUACCGGGGGAUAGCAGCCGGAAACGGCUGAUAAUACCGCAUAAGCGCACGAAUGUCGCAUGACAUGGUGUGAAAAACUCCGGUGGUAUAGGAUGGACCCGCGUCUGAUUAGCCGGUUGGUGGGGUAAAAGCCUACCAAAGCGAAGAUCAGUAGCCGAGUUGAGAGACUGACCGGCCACAUUGGGACUGAGACACGGCCCAGACUCCUACGGGAGGCAGCAGUG